UGGGGGUAAAUGAUGAAUCUUUUUGUCAAAUGGGUAAUUUGCAUCUGAAUUAUUUAUGUUGCUAAAACACCUUGGAGAACUGAUGCCCCUU
rnacentral:snoRNA from 1 species